UCUCUCAAAUAUGAACAUUGACAAGUGUGAAAUGCAUGCACCAAGACAGAAGUUAAAUUGUGUGUCGACCCACAUUGUUAACUUAUGGUAUAAUGGCGCAGGGAGGAGUGAUGAAUAUGUGUGUGUGUUAAAGAACCAAAUGCUGCCCGCGGCCAGUGACGGACUUCUAUGUCACAGUCACACUCCCCAUCCAACCUGACAGAGCUUGAGAGGAUCUGCAGAGAAGAAUGGGAGAAACUCCCCAAAUACAGGACCUGAGCCCUAGGACCAUGCCCCAGGACUACCUGACAUGAUGACUCCUUGCUGUCCCCAGUCCACCUGGCCGUGCUGCUGCUCCAGUUUUAACUGACCUGAGCCCUAGGACCAUGCCCCAGGACUACCUGACAUGAUGACUCCUUGCUGUCCCCAGUCCAUCUGACCGUGCUGCUGCUCCAGUUUCAACUGUUCUGCCUUAUUAUUAUACAACCAUGCUGGUCAUUUAUGAACAUUUGAACAUCUUGGCCAUGUUCUGUUAUAAUCUCCACCCGGCACAGCCAGAAGAGGACUGGCCACCCCACAUAGCCUGGUUCCUCUCUAGGUUUCUUCCUAGGUCCUAGGUUUUGGCCUUUCUAGGGAGUUUUUCCUAGCCACCGUGCUUCUACACCUGCAUUGCUUGCUGUUUGGGAUUUUAGGCUGGGUUUCUGUACAGCACUUUUAGAUAUCAGCUGAUGUACGAAGGGCUAUAUAAAUCGAUUUGAUUUGAUUUGAUUUGAUAUGUCUGCGUGUAGUUUGAAGGAAGUUGCUAGCAUGCUAGGAGAUACCAUAGACUCCCAGUCAUUGCGCUAACUCUAGUUAGCAUUGGCUUGUGAAAUGACCUCUAAACUUCCUUCAUACUGGAUGCAGAGACAUAAAAUGUUUACCAUUGCCAAAAUCCCAAAGUAUCCCUUUAACACUAGAACCGCCAUAGGCCAACUGCCAGCCAUUUGAUUUGGUAAAUAAAUUAAAAAGCAGCCCAAAAAAAUAAAUCCUGCUCCAUCCCUGACAUUUCCUAAAUGUCUGCUCAUUUUUAAAUCACAAACAGAAAAGUAUUUAGUCUUUUUACCCGUUUUUUUUCACCCCCACACUUAUUGCUAACUUAAUCCGCCAAGACAAUGUGCUGUAGGACAUUGGUACCCAGCCAGGUGCUAAUGCGUCUCUCUCUCCUCACUGAAUUAAUGACAAAUGUGUGAUAAUUGUGCACCUUACUUCACAGUUGAAUUUAAAUUAGGCCUAACAAUGAUAAAUGUUGAUUUUAAUUUAGAAAGACAAUAGUGUAAUGAUGAGUGUGUUAUGCCCAUUUACCAGCAGCAAAUCAUUUGACCGUAUGCCUUACGGGUUGAUACGGUUGGGUUCUGAGAAUAUUAAAUAUACUAAUUCAUGUCACUGAGAGAGAGAGGUUAAUGUAUAACGUUUACAUUGUCAGGAUAUGUUGUUGUUGUUAGCCAUCAGGGAUCCUCUGGGAGAAGAGACAGUCUGGUACCAGUCACCAUGACAGCCGUGAGUUGGGGAGUAGUGAGCACUUUGGGGCAGAGGACAGGUCAGAUGAAGUGAGGAAGAACAUAUCACUAAGGUUCUGUCUAGCAACAGAGAUGCAUUGGCUGUUCAGAUAUGUAGGAGGAGACUCAGUGUAGGAGGAGACUCAGCAUAGGAGAAAGGGAUAAAUGUGAGUGCUUGUGUGAAGAAUGUGUUGUCUGUCUGUUCAGCUGUUCGAUCCUUUGGGAAGAAUAAACUUGGUUUGAGCUUUCAUAGUGUCCGUUGAGUUCUUACUCUGAUAAUUAGAACCUAACAGUUAGCGCUGCGAGCAGGGUUCACCACAAUUUGCAGUCGGAACUAGUGAAACAGGAGCCAGGACCAAAAAUAAGUUAAGCACAGUUCCUACACCUGUUAUCACUAAUUCUGGCACCUUGGGGAGAUGAGAGUCGUAGGCUGAACCAAUUAUAAGAUACGGACCUAGAAAGCCUGAGCUUAUUCUCAUGACCACUCGAAACAUAAUAAAUAAAG
ensembl:lncRNA